AGCUCCAAUAGCAUAUACCAAUUCUGUUGCUGUUAAAAAGCUCGUAGUUUGAUUGCUUCCAAGGGUGGGGUCUGUCUCAUGGACAUGUACCCUGUCCCGAGGAUAUAUCAGCUGGUCUUUCCUUGGUGCCUUUCACAGGGUGUCUUGGGUGGCUAGCACGUUUACUUUGAAAAAAUUAGAGUGCUCAAAACAGGCGUUACUGCCUGAAUAGUGGUGCAUGGAAUAAUGGAAUAGGAUCUCGGUUCUAUUUUGUUGGUUUUAGGAGCGCGAGAUAAUGAUUAAGAGGGACGGACGGGGGCAUUCGUAUUGUGGCGUUAGAGGUGAAAUUCUUGGAUCGCCGCAAGACGAACAAUUGCGAAAGCAUUUGCCAAGAAUGUUUUCAUUAAUCAAGAACGAAAGU
rnacentral:rRNA from 1 species